ensembl:lncRNA
CAUCUGUACAGCAGGUUGGAUAUAAUCCGUCUGGUCCAGACAACAACCCCUGCUGAACUUGCUGUAGAUCUGUUUGUGUAUGAAUGGCUUGAGCGACUGGGACUUGCAGGCAAAUGGAAAGUCCCCUAGUCUGGUUACCAUGGUUACCGGUGGCUCACCUGCUGUCUCAUGUGGAAGGUUCCAGCAAAUGGAUUUAGCGGCUGUGACUCGAUACCCACUUAACCUGAAUCUCCUUUGUGCUCUUGCGCAGAGGGUUGAAAGUAAGCGGUGUCUCCAGACUCAUUCAAACUGACCACUAAGAAGCCGUUCACAAGGGUGGGAGGAGUCACAAUCAACCGAGCCUCAGCUGAUGCUGGCUGUCAUGCCGUGGUCUGCCUGAACUACGCUUGAGCUCCAUUCAUCACUCAGACUACAUUCUUUAGAAAUAUUUCUUACUAUUAGCAAUGUUGAAAACAUUUUUUUUUUUUCAUGGCUGUGCUUCAAUCGCUCUGCAGAAUUACAACUUCAUCCACUGUGCAGUAAUUGUGAUGCAGAUGUGAGGAGACAAUCUGGCAAGGGACUUGAUACAGGUUGUACUGAACAGAUACAGCCAGACAGCCACCUGACUGAAAUUAAAGCUGCUUUAACUCAUGGCAGGGCUCUAAAUAGAAAGAAAAUCAUGAACUAAAUAAGCAAGCAUCUUAAUACUCUCUAAAUCUUUUAUAAAUUCAGCAUCGCGUUAGUUCAGUCAGGCCACGUUAGUCAAGCUUGCAUCAGCCAACAGUCAGCUGUUCCUGAGGUGUACCAAUCCACUGUUGACACCUAUCACAUGCGGUCUAUUUAAAUUCCCAUUCUUCAGCGUCUCUUCCAUCGCUUUGCUGCUUGCAAAUAACUCCCUCCUCCAACCCCAACUCCACCUACUGAACCUGUAAUCCAAUCUAACUUUUGUUUCUUUUUCUAGUCACUUCAUUGGAAGCAUUCUCUAUCACUUUCAUUUACAACUCAUGUAAUUGUGAAAUGUAAUUAUGUAUGCAUAUAAUGGUUCUGUUCUGUAGCCCAGGGGGGUUUGUCUUGCUGCUCUCCCCGCUCUGUCCAAGCAUGGCUGCAUGGACAGGCGUGUGGAGUGUUGCCCAGAACAUAACCAUACCGCCAACACUAACUGUAUGCAAUAUAAUUGUAAUAAAUAUACUUGAUGGAAGUGGUCCUAAUUGAAGUAUAGUAGUAUGUAAUCUGAAGUAUAUAGCUACAGAAUUAUCUGCAUCAAAUGAAAAUAUAAAAAUCUCCCUGGUAUCUACCAAGAACACUAUAGAAUCAGUGGUUUAGCAUAACCAAACAUCUCUCACACAAUUUUCUUCUAAAAUAAUUGAAAUUGAAAGUGCUAAUUUGCAAAUUGCAUGUUUUUUAAGAUGCUGAGAUGACACAAAACAUCUUAUUUAAGUGUGUGGUUGAAAGUAAGCCUGUUUUCUAUCUAAUCUGACUUUAACACAUUGAUAAAGGGCUUUAAAUUAAACUAGGGAACAUAUCACUUUAAAUGCAAAACCUCCUACUAUGUUUGCCUAGAAAGAGAUUUUGGAUUAUACAGUGAAUCACAAGAAGAAUGAGGUGAGUAUUUAAGGGGUCAUAUGAUGCGAUUUCAAGUUUUCCUUUCUCUUUGGAGUGUUACAAGCUCUUGGUGCAUAAAGAAGAUCUGUAAAGUUGCAAAGACUAAAGUCUCAAACCCAAAGAGAUAUUCUUUAUAAAAGUUAAGAGUCAACCACACACCCCUAAAACGGCUCGUUCUAACACGCCCCCACAUGUCUACGUCAGGAUGUGGGAAGAUUUGCAUAACACCACCCAGAUGUUCAGGCAAAAAAAGAAGGUGUAACUUUGAUUCUUGCUGUUGCUGCCGGCGCUAUGUUGUGGAGACACAGUUUCGUUGUGAAAGCGAAAAUACUUUCUUUGGCCUUCCAAAAGAGAACACAACUACAAAUCAGUGGUUAAGUUGCAUUUACAACACUGUUCCAGAACAUUUCAACCCAAAUAUUUAGUGUGCAGCACAUUUUAUGGAGGAUUGUUUCCGGAUCCUGGGAGAGAAUACUACAAUGCUGGCUGUACUGACUCACAGUCUGUAAGUAUGUUUACAUAUGUAAAGGAUUUGCCACUGAUGAUUCAUUCGAUUUUUGUGCAGUGUAGAGCAGCGGUUCUCAAUUCCAGUCCGCACUCACCCCUGCUCUGAACCCCUGUUCCAGAACAGUUCAACUGAAAUAUUCAGAUGUGAACCAAUAUCCUGAGUUAUUCAGUUACUCCUAACAGUACAUUGACUGAACUGGUAAAAGAGCAGCUGGACUGAGUCUCAUCCUGCUGGGAGAUGGCAUCACAGUUUGUUAAGGGGCAUGACAUUUCCGUCACACGCUUGAGGCAUUCGGCCAAUCACAACGCACUAGAUAGCUGGCCAAUCAGAGCACACCUUGCUUUUCAGACCGAUAAGCUUUGUAAAAAACGACGCAUUUCAGAAAGAAUAUAGGAGAAACAAUAAUGUACAGUUGUUUUUUUAACCUUAAACCGCAUAAACACAUUUAAUUACACCAAAUACACAAAAUAAUGUUCUUUUAACAACAUCAUAUGACCCCUUUAAGAGCAAAAGCAAUUAUAUUAUAAUUAUAUUAUAUUAUAAUAUUAUAAUAUUCACUUAUCAAAGCACAGCAGAGGAUUCCUGUUCUGAGCAAAUGUUCAUCACUGAUAACAUGAUAGUCAUACUUCAUUAACUCUCACAACAUUCUGUCCCACGAAGAAAUACUCUAAUAUUCUCUAAUCAGUAGCGAUUGCAACAACCACCUCCUUUAAAGCAUCGAUGGACAGAACAUUCUGAUCUGUGGAAACACACACACUUCCAUGUGAAAAAGAAGUGUGCUUAAUUGUAGUAAAUAAGCACUUGUAGUGUACUUCAACACUUACGUCCACCUUAAGGAUGAAAAUUGGCUGUUAAUUUAGCUUAUUUUCAGGCCAUCCAAGAUGUAGAUUACUUUUUCCUAUAAUAGAACAGUAAAGAAGAUUUCUAGCUCAACCCAAAGUCUUUGGUGAUUUAUAAAAUGCAAGUCAAUGGCUACCGUCACUCUGAGAGUCAAAUAAGCAUAUCUAGGAACACAAAAUUAAUACCCAUGGCUCCAGA